rnacentral:rRNA from 1 species
AUUGAACGCUGGCGGCAGGCCUAACACAUGCAAGUCGAGCGGGGCGGCGGCCGGGUGAGUAAUGCCUAGGAAUCUUCCUGGUAGUGGGGGAUGACGUCCGGAGACGGGCGCUAAUACCGCAUCCUCUCAGAUGAGCCUAGGUCGGAUUAGCUAGUGGGUGGGGUAAAGGCCUACCAAGGCGACGAUCCGUAACUGGUCUGAGCGGCUGAUCAGUAACACUGGAACAGAGAAACGGUCCAGACUCCUACGGGAGGCAGCAGUGGGGAAUAUUGGACAAGGGGCGAAAGCCUGAUCCAGCCAUGACGGGUGUGUGAAGAAGGUCUUCGGAUUGUAAAGCACUUUAAGUUGGGAGGCGUUACCAACAGAAUAAGCACCGGCUAAAUUCGUGCCAGCAGCCGCGGUAAUAC